AUUUAUAUAGUUUUAUAUAAAACAUUAUAUUUUCAAUAUAAAAUUAUUAAUAAUAAAUA
rnacentral:tRNA from 1 species